GAUUAUUUAUAUAUUUGAAAAGGACAAAGCUUGCGGGAGGAGGAGAGCUGAGAGGAGGCAGGAGUCACACUGCGCUAAUGUGGUCACAGCCGGUCUACCAGGCAGCUCCAGUCAAAACAAAUCCGUCACAGAAGGGUGGAAAAAAGAAGAAAAAAAGAAGAAAGUUCACACACUUAACAUUCAAAACAAGCCCCCACCCGCCAGCCCUCCACCCUUUAACUCACAGGGAGAACAGUUUGCUGACACAAGAGUCAAAAAAGGCCCUGAGCAAUCCUACAAUCCCUCAGCGACAGGAGGAGCCAAUAAUUGUUGUCUGCUUAAGAGGGAGAGCUGGAACAAUAAAUCACCUGAAAGUAUGAGAGGUACAGCGGAGUUCUCAGAGUAGGAGGACACGUUGUGGUCCACUGACUGAGCAGAGCUAAUACACAUCUUCUGAUCCAUUUCCAUUGGAAAAUCAGCCUCAAGGAGUCGAGAGUUCACAGCCAAUCACAAGCUUUUGUCGGUCUCACAGCCAAAUACUCUCUGUGGAUUCCUGCCAUUCACCUGCCCACUGACUCACCAUCGACACCUUGGAUCUCCCCAGAACCCUGUUCCAAGGACUGUUCUCCUGCACUAACAAAUACUGCCCCAGUGCUCCCUACUACCUGUCACUGAACUCUCUUCAUUUGUUAAAUGUGGCCCCUAGUCUACCCUUGCUAUGAUGGCAGAAUGGAGAAAACUCCCAUCCAUGGCUGACUGCAGCGACCAUACCCUCUGAAGAGACAAGUGGACCCACUUUAUCCCACCAAAUGCACAAUUACACAUUAUUACAGAGCCACUGUCAUUAUAACAGAACCAGGUCACUAGCGUUCAGUGAUGGUGUGACUGCUAAUGGUAUGAUAAAUUUUGAAGUGUACAGGGCUGUGCUCUCUGCUCUUAUUCAGACGAAUGCUGAAAAAUGCAACCCUGAAUGGACAGCACUUCACAGUACAAAUAGAUAAUAAUCGAAAGCGUACUGCAAAAGCAACCCAAGAGUUUCUCAAGGCAAAGAGAAUGGAGAUUUUUCAAUGGCCAAGUCGGUCACCUGAACUGAACCCAAUGAGGCAUGCUUUUUAGUUUACUGAAGCGAAAACAGAAGGGAGAGAGACCCACAAACAAGCUGCAGCCAAAGGUGGCUGCAGUUAAGGCCUGGCAAAGCAUCUCAAGGGAGGAUACACAGUGUUUGGUGUCCAUGGUUCAACACUUCAAGCAGUCAUUACUCAAAACAAUCCUUUAAGUUGUGACGUCAGUUUUUCCACUUACUUUUGUGUCUCUGAAAAUGUGACACUAUGUGUGUAAAAAUAUCUGUAUUUCCAAAACAGUUAUUGACAUACUAUACAGUUUAAA